rnacentral:lncRNA from 1 species
UCAGCAACACACGAACAUCAUGACCCACACUGGACAGGGUGAGGGCGGGGUGGCCUUCAGGGGUGGCUUUGCUAAAGAGGUGAUCUCAAACUAGAAGCUGAAAGAUGAGAAUGACCUGACUAGUUGAAGGGGUGUGCAUGCAUGUGUGGUGCACGUGUGUUGUGGUGGGAUUUUAAUCAGAGGAUUUUCGUCAGAAGGAACAGCAAUGCAAAGGCUCCUGGCUCCAGCGUAGUUGGAAUUCCAGUGCGGCAGGAAGUCUAUGUAGGCACAUCUCCUUGCUUUUCUGGGAAUGCAGUCCAGGGAAAAAAACACCCACUGUACCCUUUGACUGCGAAGAGGCAAACAUCAAAUCCCGGCUUGGCCGUUUUGCAGUCUGAUAGACUCAUACCCACUAACCAUGGCUGUUACGAGAUAACAUCUGUUACUGCACUACUUUUGAAGGAUGAAAUAACCUCUCUCUUCAUGUGCCAGCGAAGGAGCAAAACCAAUGCGUGACCCCGGUGUACUUGCAUUACCAGUAAGCUUUGUCCCUAAUUUCCAGAGGAAACUUUCCUUUGGGCUCCUGUGGUUGUCAGAGUCAGCAUUCCCUUUGAAAAGGGGCAUUUGCCAUGGUGUGAAUGUUUAUGUCUCCCCAAAGUGUAUAUGUUGAAAUCCUUCCCACAUGCCCCCAAGGUAUUAGGAGGUGGGGUCUUUGGGAGGUGAUUGGGUCAUGGGGCAGAGCCCUCAUGAAUGGAAUUAGUGCCCUUAUUAAAGAGGCCCUAGAGAGACCCCUCGCCCUUUCCACUAUGUGAGGACACAGUGAGAAAUCACCUUCUAUGAACCAGAAAAUGGGCCCUCACCAGACACGGAAUCUGCCAAUACUUUGGACUUCACAGUCUCCGUGAAGAGUGAAUUUCUGCUUUAUGGUAUUUUAUUAGAACAACUGGAAUGAACUAAGAGUUGAAGGUAUAUUAAAGGAGCUGAAGAUGUAUAAACAGGAAUAAAUAAACUCAUCUCCUUCAGACAUUUCUUCAUCCCGUCAUUUUUCUUUCCCACUCUGCCUACUUAGUAGUAUUUCCGUAAUGCUUACCAUGUCCUGGUCUCAGUUGGAUCCAACUAGACUUAAACAAACAAACAAACAAACAAAAAAUAGGAGACAUUGGAUAUAUGUGGAAAGGAAAGCUCAAGAUGGCAGAUUGAACACUCACUGGAACCUGAAGCUUCUAAUACAAAUAAAUUGACAAAGCACUUUACAAGAUGUAUUGUG